UGCUGGAGGUAUCAGAAGUGCGAAUGCUGACAUAAGUAACGAUAAAGCGGGUGAAAAGCCCGCUCGCCGGAAGACCAAGGGUUCCUGUCCAACGUUAAUCGGGGCAGGGUGAGUCGACCCCUAAGGCGAGGCCGAAAGGCGUAGUCGAUGGGAAACAGGUUAAUAUUCCUGUACUUGGUGUUACUGCGAAGGGGGGACGGAGAAGGCUAUGUCAGCCGGGCGACGGUUGUCCCGGUUUAAGCAUGUAGGCGGAGGUUCCAGGUAAAUCCGGUACCUUGUUAACGCUGAGGUGUGAUGACGAGGCACUACGGUGCUGAAGUGAUAAAUGCCCUGCUUCCAGGAAAAGCCUCUAAGCAUCAGGUAACACGAAAUCGUACCCCAAACCGACACAGGUGGUCAGGUAGAGAAUACCAAGGCGCUUGAGAGAACUCGGGUGAAGGAACUAGGCAAAAUGGUGCCGUAACUUCGGGAGAAGGCACGCUGAUAGGUAGGUGAAGUCCCUGCGGACGGAGCUGAAAUCAGUCGAAGAUACCAGCUGGCUGCAACUGUUUAUUAAAAACACAGCACUGUGCAAACACGAAAGUGGACGUAUACGGUGUGACGCCUGCCCGGUGCCGGAAGGUUAAUUGAUGGGGUUAGCGGCAACGCGAAGCUCUUGAUCGAAGCCCCGGUAAACGGCGGCCGUAACUAUAACGGUCCUAAGGUAGCGAAAUUCCUUGUCGGGUAAGUUCCGACCUGCACGAAUGGCGUAAUGAUGGCCAGGCUGUCUCCACCCGAGACUCAGUGAAAUUGAACUCGCUGUGAAGAUGCAGUGUACCCGCGGCAAGACGGAAAGACCCCGUGAACCUUUACUAUAGCUUGACACUGAACACUGGUCCUUGAUGUGUAGGAUAGGUGGGAGGCUUUGAAGCGUGGACGCCAGUCUGCGUGGAGCCAACCUUGAAAUACCACCCUUUAAUGGCUGGUGUUCUAACGUAGACCCGUAAUCCGGGUUGCGGACAGUGUCUGGUGGGUAGUUUGACUGGGGCGGUCUCCUCCCAAAGAGUAACGGAGGAGCACGAAGGUUGGCUAAUCCUGGUCGGACAUCAGGAGGUUAGUGCAAUGGCAUAAGCCAGCUUGACUGCGAGCGUGACGGCGCGAGCAGGUGCGAAAGCAGGUCAUAGUGAUCCGGUGGUUCUGAAUGGAAGGGCCAUCGCUCAACGGAUAAAAGGUACUCCGGGGAUAACAGGCUGAUACCGCCCAAGAGUUCAUAUCGACGGCGGUGUUUGGCACCUCGAUGUCGGCUCAUCACAUCCUGGGGCUGAAGUAGGUCCCAAGGGUAUGGCUGUUCGCCAUUUAAAGUGGUACGCGAGCUGGGUUUAGAACGUCGUGAGACAGUUCGGUCCCUAUCUGCCGUGGGCGCUGGAGAAUUGAGGGGGGCUGCUCCUAGUACGAGAGGACCGGAGUGGACGCAUCACUGGUGUUCGGGUUGUCAUGCCAAUGGCACUGCCCGGUAGCUAAAUGCGGAA
rnacentral:rRNA from 1 species